rnacentral:lncRNA from 1 species
GGAUGUGGUAAUCAUAAAAAAAAUUUUAAAAGGAAAUUAAGAAAAAGGCAAGGAAAAUUUGAGUGGCAAAAUUUGCAAGAAGGGUGGUGAGAUUUUUAGCAAGUAUUGCUAGUGUGCCCUUGGGUUUGAUUUUUCUAUGUGUUGGAGUCAAAAAUCAAAUCUUAGAUUGUAUGACAUCUGAAGAGUGUCUUCCUAGUAUCAUUCUGGUGCAAAGAUUGAAAGUAACUGGGCUUUGGUGCGAUUAUAAUGCAAGUUUGAAGUCGGUAGUGUUCUUGAGAAGACAAGGCUAUGACAGCGCACC